rnacentral:rRNA from 1 species
AUUGAACGCUGGCGGCAGGCCUAACACAUGCAAGUCGAACGAGUGGCGGACGGGUGAGUAAUGUCUGGGAAACUGCCUGAUGGAUGGGGAUAACUACUGGAAACGGUAGCUAAUACCGCAUACCAUCGGAUGUGCCCAGAUGGGAUUAGCUAGUAGGUGGGGUAACGGCUCACCUAGGCGACGAUCCCUAGCUGGUCUGAGAGGAUGACCAGCCAGACUGGAACUGAGACACGGUCCAGACUCGUACGGGAGGCAGAAGUGGGGAAGAUUGCAAAAUGGGGAAAAGCCUGAUGAAGCCAGGCCGCGUGUAUGAAGAAGGCCUUCGGGUUGUAAGGUACUUUCAGCGGGGAGGCGUUACCCGAAGAAGAAGCACCGGCUAACUCCGUGACAGCAGCCGCGGUAAUUC